rnacentral:tRNA from 25 species
CCCGUACAUGCCCAACUGGUGUUUGGGAGCAGGCUGUAACCCUGUGGCCUUCGGGACGGUGAGGUUCGAUUCCUCAGUGCGGGACCA